UAUAUAGGGCGAAUUGGGCCCGACGUCGCAUGCUCCCGGCCGCCAUGGCGGCCGCGGGAAUUCGAUUACGGGGUGCAGCAGGCGCGAAAACUUGGCAAUGCGAGCAAUCGUGACCAGGGAACUCCAAGCGGCUGGGGUAAGACCCAAUCUUUUCAGAACUCUUCAAAGGUUUUAGAAUAAGGGGUGGGUAAGGACGGUGCCAGCCGCCGCGGUAAUACCGGCGCCUCAAGUGGUAGUCGCUUUUAUUGGGCCUAAAACGUCCGUAGCCGGUUUGGUACAUUCGUGGGUAAAUCAACUCGCUCAACGAGUUGAAUUCUGCGAGGACGGCCAGACUUGGGACCGGGAGAGGUGUGGGGUACUCUCAGGGUAGGGGUAAAAUCCUGUCAUCCUGAGAGGACCACCUGUUGCGAAGGCGCCACACUAGAACGGAUCCGACGGUCAGGGACGAAGCCUAGGGGCACGAACCGGAUUAGAUACCCGGGUAGUCCUAGGUGUAAACGCUGUGGACUUGAUGUUGGAGGAGCUCCGAGCUCUUUCAGUGUCGAAGCGAAGGUGAUAAGUCCACUGCCUGGGAAGUACGGUCGCGCCUGCUGCA
rnacentral:rRNA from 1 species